rnacentral:rRNA from 1 species
UACGUAGGGUGCAAGCGUUGUCCGGAAUUAUUGGGCGUAAAGAGCUCGUAGGCGGUCUGUCGCGUCUGCUGUGAAAACUCGGGGCUUAACCCCGGGCCUGCAGUGGGUACGGGCAGACUAGAGUGCGGUAGGGGAGACUGGAACUCCUGGUGUAGCGGUGAAAUGCGCAGAUAUCAGGAGGAACACCGGUGGCGAAGGCGGGUUGCUGGGCUGACACUGACGCUGAAGCGCGAAAGCCAGGGGAGCGAACGGG